UGCUAGAAUAAUUUUAACAUUAAAAUUUUUUUAAGUACCAACAAUUAGAUAUAGCCAUGUCCGUCUGUCGGUCAGAUAAAAGAUAAAGAGGACGAUAUCGAAUGGUGACGAUGCGGGAUGUUUGAAAGUGAACUUGAACCCAAAAAAACGAAGCACAAAACCAAAAAAAAAAAAUUUUUUUUCUUUGCUUCUAAGUUGUAGUCAAUUCGCACAGAAUUUUUAAUUGCACCGAUGACACUUUUGACAGACAGAACGACCUCUGACUUUUACCUUUAAAACGUUCAUUACAUUGCAGUCUUUUACAAAUACAUACAUUUUGAUUUGGGGAUUAUGGGAGCAAAUAUAAUUAUUCAAAUUAGGAAGCUUACUAAUCUGGACUGGCAAUCGCUCACUUUAACCUGAUAACACUAGGAUUCUUAACUGGAAUGCAACUGCAAAAAACGAAUAUGUUAAAUUGUCCGCAAACACAAAAACAUCAUAAAAGCAAAGGAGAAGCUGCAGAUUGCGUCGCAAAUUGAACUUGAUAACAGCAAGUUAGCUUGAUUUUAUUAAUGAUUACACACAAAUCUACAAGCAGCUACAUUUAACAUUUGUAUUAACUUAAACAGUGACAAAUACAGCACAACAAGCACACGAGCGAAAACAAAUUUUAUAUUGCAAAACUGACCCUGAAAAUGUUAAGACGAUGUUGAAUUUAUCGAUUGUAAGCACAUCUGCAAAUUUCUGCAAAAAAUGUUUUACACAAUUUAGAGCCAGAAAAUACCUUCAAAAUCCAUUACCAAUAAUUUAAAUUUGGACAUCCACUCGCGCCCGCCGCGCCUCCUCCAUCUCCAGCCACGUCAGCAGAAUUGGCUUCAGUUUGAUCACGUUUUUGUGCGACAGCUCUAGGUUCUCCAAAUUAGAGAUUGUGGUCUGCGUCAGUGGUCUGACGCCAGGCAGCUCGGCCAGGGCCUUGCCCACAUAGUCUUGCGUGAGUUCUGCAAGAGGCGAAGUCGAAUGUCAAAUUAAUGGGCUAUCCUUGGCGAUUCAAAUGCGAACUGACGUGGAAACUAGGAAAGAUUGCGAUCCUAAGAUGAUGUGUCAAUACAUUUCUUUAUAAUGCAAAAGCAACUCAAACGGUCAACAGUUAUUUGCGAGCUCUGAUUUUGAUUCAUUCUGAAUAAAAAUUGAGCUUAAUCAGAAAGAUUGAUUUCAGAGCU